ACGUCAAAAAAAAGGGACGAAAAAUUACAUGUCUCCUCAUGUCUUCCAGGCAGGCAAAAACAGGAGCACAUCCAACUGCAAACGAAGCUCUGAAAAACGACGACUUUCGUCGAGCAUUGUAGGAUCAUUAAUUCCAUAUUAUUGUUGUGUAAAGGCGUUUAUACAAUAACAUUUUUAAACAUAACAUAGUUGGUUUCGUGUUCUAUUUGUUAUGCUAUUUAUUUUGUUG
rnacentral:lncRNA from 1 species